rnacentral:rRNA from 1 species
UGGGGCCGGUUCACAGGUGGUGCAUGGUUGUCGUCAGCUCGUGUCGUGAGAUGUUGGGUUAAGUCCCGCAACGAGCGCAACCCUCGUUCCAUGUUGCCAGCGCGUAAUGGCGGGGACUCAUGGGAGACUGCCGGGGUCAACUCGGAGGAAGGUGGGGACGACGUCAAAUCAUCAUGCCCCUUAUGUCUUGGGCUUCACGCAUGCUACAAUGGCCGGUACAAAGGGUUGCGAUACUGUGAGGUGGAGCUAAUCCCAAAAAGCCGGUCUCAGUUCGGAUUGGGGUCUGCAGCUCGACCCCAUGAAGUCGGAGUCGCUAGUAAUCGCAGAUCAGCAACGCUGCGGUGAAUACGUUCCCGGGCCUU